UGGGGAAUAUUGGACAAUGGGCGAAAGCCUGAUCCAGCCAUGCCGCGUGUGUGAAGAAGGUCUUCGGAUUGUAAAGCACUUUAAGUUGGGAGGAAGGGCAUUAACCUAAUACGUUAGUGUUUUGACGUUACCGACAGAAUAAGCACCGGCUAACUCUGUGCCAGCAGCCGCGGUAAUACAGAGGGUGCAAGCGUUAAUCGGAAUUACUGGGCGUAAAGCGCGCGUAGGUGGUUUGUUAAGUUGGAUGUGAAAUCCCCGGGAUCAACCUGGGAACUGCAUUCAAAACUGACUGACUAGAGUAUGGUAGAGGGUGGUGGAAUUUCCUGUGUAGCGGUGAAAUGCGUAGAUAUAGGAAGGAACACCAGUGGCGAAGGCGACCACCUGGACUAAUACUGACACUGAGGUGCGAAAGCGUGGGGAGCAAACA
rnacentral:rRNA from 1 species